GACGUAGGGCGCGAGCGUUGUCCGGAUUUAUUGGGCGUAAAGAGCUCGUAGGCGGUUUGUCGCGUCUGCUGUGAAAACCCGAGGCUCAACCUCGGGCCUGCAGUGGGUACGGGCAGACUAGAGUGCGGUAGGGGAGAUUGGAAUUCCUGGUGUAGCGGUGGAAUGCGCAGAUAUCAGGAGGAACACCAAUGGCGAAGGCAGAUCUCUGGGCCGAUACUGACGCUGAGGAGCGAAAGCGUGGGGAGCGAACAGG
rnacentral:rRNA from 1 species